GUCCACGCUGUAAACGAUGAGCGCUAGGUGUCGUGGGUAUUGACCCCCGCGGUGCCGAAGCUAACGCAUUAAGCGCUCCGCCUGGGAAGUACGGUCGCAAGACUAAAACUCAAAGGAAUUGACGGGGGCACGCACAAGCGGUGGAGCAUGUGGUUUAAUUCGACGCAACGCGCAGAACCUUACCUGGGCUGGAAAGUGUUUGGAAUCCUGGUGAAAACCGGGGGUGCCCGCAAGGGAACCAAGUGACAGGUGCUGCAUGGCUGUCGU
rnacentral:rRNA from 1 species